GUACGGCGAGUGANGCGGUAAAAGCUCAAAUUUGAAAUCUGGCUCUUUUAGAGUCCGAAUUGUAAUUUGUAGAAGAUGCUUCGGGUGUGGUUCCGGUCUAAGUUCCUUGGAACAGGACGUCAUAGAGGGUGAGAAUCCCGUAUGUGACUGGAUACCUAUGCUCAUGUGAAGCUCUUUCGACGAGUCGAGUUGUUUGGGAAUGCAGCUCAAAAUGGGAGGUAUAUUUCUUCUAAAGCUAAAUAUUGGCCAGAGACCGAUAGCGCACAAGUAGAGUGAUCGAAAGAUGAAAAGCACUUUGGAAAGAGAGUUAAACAGUACGUGAAAUUGUUGAAAGGGAAGCGCUUGCAAUCAGACUUGCACUUGGUGUUCAUCAGGGUCUCGUACCCUGUGUACUUCAUCAAGUUCAGGCCAGCAUCAGUUUGAGUGGUUAGAUAAAGGCUUAGAGAAUGUGGCCCUCUUCGGGGGGUGUUAUAGCUCUAGGUGCAAUGUAGCCUACUUGGACUGAGGACCGCGCUUCGGCUAGGAUGCUGGCGUAAUGGUUGUAAGCGACCCGUCUUGAA
rnacentral:rRNA from 1 species